UACGUAGGGGUGCAAGCGUUAAUCGGAAUUACUGGGCGUAAAGCGUGCGCAGGCGGUUAUGUAAGACAGAUGUGAAAUGCCCGGGCUUAACCUGGGAACUGCAUUUGUGACUGCAUGGCUAGAAUCUGGCAGAGGGGGGUAGAAUUCCACGUGUAGCAGUGAAAUGCGUAGAUAUGUGGAGGAACACCGAUGGCGAAGGCAGCCCCCUGGGUACAAGAUUGACGCUACAUGCACGAAAGCGUGGGGAGCAAACAGG
rnacentral:rRNA from 1 species